rnacentral:rRNA from 1 species
UGGGGAAUAUUGCACAAUGGGGGAAACCCUGAUGCAGCGACGCCGCGUGAACGAAGAAGGUAUUCGUAUCGUAAAGUUCUGUCCUAUGGGAAGAUAAUGACAGUACCACAGAAGAAAGCUCCGGCUAAAUACGUGCCAGCAGCCGCGGUAAUACGUAUGGAGCGAGCGUUGUCCGGAAUUAUUGGGCGUAAAGCGAGCGCAGGCGGUUAGAAAAGUCUGUAGUGAAAGGCAGUGGCUCAACCAUUGUAGGCUUUGGAAACUGGUUGACUUGAGUGCAGAAGGGGAGCGUGGAGUUCCAUGUGUAGCGGUGGAAUGCGUAGAUAUAUGGAGGAACACCAGUGGCGUAGGCGACUCUCUGGUCUGUAACAAACGAUGAGGUUCGAAAGCGUGGGUAGCGAACAGG